AAGCGUACACGGUGGAUGCCUUGGCAGCCAGAGGCGAUGAAGGACGUAGUAGCCUGCGAUAAGCUUCGGGGAGUCGGCAAACAGACUUUGAUCCGGAGAUUUCCGAAUGGGGAAACCCACCUGUCAUAAGGCAGGUAUCACAUACUGAAUACAUAGGUAUGUGAGGCGAACGCGGGGAACUGAAACAUCUAAGUACCCGUAGGAACAGAAAUCAAUUGAGAUUCCGUCAGUAGCGGCGAGCGAACGCGGAUUAGCCCUUAAGCUUGUGAAUGAUUAGGAGAACGGUCUGGGAAGGCCGGCCAUAGUGGGUGAUAGCCCCGUAUCCGAAAAUCUGAUCAAGUGAAAUCGAGUAGGUCGGAGCACGUGAAACUUUGACUGAAUGUGGGGGGACCAUCCUCCAAGGCUAAAUACUCCUG
rnacentral:rRNA from 1 species